GCACAACGCGAAGAACCUUACCAGGCCUUGACGUGCAGAGAACUUUCCAGAGAUGGAUAGGUGCCUUCGGGAACUCUGACACAGGUGCUGCAUGGCUGUCGUCAGCUCGUGUCGUGAGAUGUUGGGUUAAGUCCCGUAACGAGCGCAACCCUUGUCCUUAGUUACCAGCACGUUAAGGUGGGCACUCGUAAGGAGACUGCCGGUGACAAACCGGAGGAAGGUGGGGAAUGACGUCAAGUCAUCGAUGGCCCUUACGGCCUAGGGCUACACACGUGCUACAAUGGUCGGUACAAAGGGUUGCCAAGCCGCGAGGUGGAGCUAAUCCCAUAAAACCGAUCGUAGUCCGGAUCGCAGUCUGCAACUCGACUGCGUGAAGUCGGAAUCGCUAGUAAUCGUGAAUCAGAAUGUCACGGUGAAUACGUUCCCGGG
rnacentral:rRNA from 1 species